CGAGAAAAAGAUAGAUUUGAUGUGUUGAGAUAUUUUUGUUGGAUGAUGAUUACUUGGAUAGUCGAGUAAGGAAACUCGUAUCCUAAUAGUCGAGGAGAGGAAUCGAAGGCUCUAGAUCAUCUCCCAUUUCAUCCUUAAUUGUAAAAGGAUUUAAUAAUAAUUAAGGUAUUUUGAAUGGAUGACGAAUACUCAGAUAGUCGAGUAAGGCAACUCGUAUCCUAAUAGUCGAGGAGAGAAAUU
rnacentral:lncRNA from 1 species